rnacentral:rRNA from 1 species
AUUGAACGCUGGCGGCAGGCUUAACACAUGCAAGUCGAGCGGAGCGAGGGUGCUUGCACCUUAGCUUAGCGGCGGACGGGUGAGUAAUGCUUAGGAAUCUGCCUAUUAGUGGGGGACAACAUUCCGAAAGGAAUGCUAAUACCGCAUACGCCCUACGGGGGAAAGCAGGGGAUCUUCGGACCUUGCGCUAAUAGAUGAGCCUAAGUCGGAUUAGCUAGUUGGUGGGGUAAAGGCCUACCAAGGCGACGAUCUGUAGCGGGUAUGAGAGGAUGAUCCGCCACACUGGGACUGAGACACGGCCCAGACUCCUACGGGAGGCAGCAGUGGGGAAUAUUGGACAAUGGGCGGAAGCCUGAUCCAGCCAUGCCGCGUGUGUGAAGAAGGCCUUUUGGUUGUAAAGCACUUUAAGCGAGGAGGAGGCUACUUAGAUUAAUACUCUGGGAUAGUGGACGUUACUCGCAGAAUAAGCUCCGGCUAACUCUGAGCCAGCAGCCGCGGUAA